rnacentral:rRNA from 1 species
UACGUAGGGCGCAAGCGUUGUCCGGAAUUAUUGGGCGUAAAGAGCUCGUAGGCGGCUUGUCACGUCGGGUGUGAAAGCCCGGGGCUUAACCCCGGGUCUGCAUUCGAUACGGGCAGGCUAGAGUGUGGUAGGGGAGACUGGAAUUCCUGGUGUAGCGGUGAAAUGCGCAGAUAUCAGGAGGAACACCGGUGGCGAAGGCGGGUCUCUGGGCAUGUCCUGACGCUGAGGAGCGAAAGUGUGGGGAGCGAACAGG